GAACUGAAGGGCAGGACACAGAGUCAGCAAGCAAGCGGCAGAUUUACUGCAGAAGCAAUAGAGGCAGACUUCUGUUCUCUGGAGCUCAACACCGGAGCUCAAUCAACUUCUUGGCAGGAAGCUCUUUGUAUCUGUAAAGGGCCGUGCAGCAUUUACUGUUCCUACACCAGGGUUAGUCCUCGUGACAGUUGUAGGUUGCUGGCCCUAUCAGCCCAGCUCAGCUUACUCUUUGAUGCAGGCGAACGCCCUGGUUUCUGGCUUAUACUGAUAUUUUGCUGAGCAAACCCAUCUUUUAUGGCCAGUAAAGAUCUGGUGUGGUUUGGACGUGAGGGGUCCCCAACGGCUCCUGUGUUCAUGCAGGAAUGUUCAGACGAGCGAUGAAUGCACUGGGAGAGCU
rnacentral:lncRNA from 1 species